rnacentral:tRNA from 1 species
GGCAUGGUGGCUCAGUGGUUAGAGCCGCGCCCGUCUCAUGAACGGGAGGUCGUGAGUUCGAACCCCGGCCGAGUCA